rnacentral:lncRNA from 1 species
AGCACACCCAACUGCGCAAGCACAUUUCCACGGCUGCUUGCAAUGGGGCGGCUUCUAUUCUGUGGCCAAAGGAAGUCACAUGACUGAUACCAGUCAUCGUGCAGCUGGUCCUGCCGGUCACGGGAAGGCUCGGGAAGAAACGAAGCCAUGGGGACACCACGGAUGCCGUGCCCUGCUGCUCGCGGGGCCCUAGUGCAGACUGUGCCUCUACCCAGACAGCCCCCAGCAGAUUCUGUUCUGAGAAAUGGAGCGAGACUGCCAGGCUUUUGUGUGAAUUACGGAGGGAAGAUUCAUGGCAUGGGAAUCAUCUGGAAUCCUCGCGACCUGAUCUGUUUAAUCCCGUGGAUCCUCGGGUCACGCUCCCAUCAGCUGUGUAUGAUGACACCAGAGUGGAGUUCCCCCUAAGUCACUGCCAAGAACACAUUCCUCUGAGAAGAUGUUGCUGCUCUGCCACGUGCUCUCCAGAGUGCUCUAACUUCACUCGUUACCCGAGGAGGGGCUGUGUGUACUGCAGCUCUGCUCUUCUUCUCGGCCAUCUGUACGCCUUAGAUAUGCUUUCUGCCUCUUUGUUUGGGUUGCAUUCUCCAGCUUGCUAUGGCAAAAGAAGAGACUUUUUGAAUACAUGGUAGUGUCUGUAGAGUUUAGAUUAUCGUCCAGCAAAUAUUCACUCCCUUCCUCCAUCCCCAUAAGAGGAAAGGACUGUCUCCACUCCCUGACUUUGGCCUUGACCAUGUGAUUAGCUUUGGCCAAUGGGAUGCUAGCAGAUGUGCUCUGAGCAGAAGCUUGAAAUAUGCUUGCCUGGUUAGGCUUACUCACUAGUGCUCCUGUCUUUUGCCAUGAGAAUAACAUGCCUUAGGAAGCUCCUACACCAAGGAGGAGGGGAAACAUAUGGAGCAUACCCAGACUCAACUUGCACUUGGAGCCAAACCUGAAGGACCUCAGCCUAGAUCAACUGAACUCCAGCUGUCUUGUAGAUGUGCAAGCUUAUUGUCAUGUGACACCAAGAUUUUUGUUCUUAUUUGUUACACAGCAAAAACCGACUGAUACAAAGUCCGAAUUGAAAACAGAGCUCCCAUCUUGCAGCACCUUACACUUCCUAUGUCAAAUAUUAAACACCUCCUCGGGCAGUGAUGGCAAGGGAAUAUCUAAACUACUCACAUUCACUUUGUGUUGGUUCAUUGGUCCUUGAAGAAAUUAUAGGGCUAAAUGAGUCCUAGGUGAGGUGAGAAAGCAAACACUACGGCUGGAAUAGCAUGAGCAAAGGUGUAGAAGAAGGAACGUACAAGACCUAUUCUAGGGCUAGUGAACGGAGAGAGUGUAGACCACUCUUUGAAGAGUAUGGGAGGAGGCAAAUACUCAAAGAGUAUUUGAAUUACAAAAUAAGGAAUUGAGGAAGUUAGAUUUAGCUUUUAUUCUUUAGAGCUAUUGGCUCCAGCAAAGAAAUAUAAGCUAGAGGGAACCCUGGAUGCUAAUUGUAUGUUAAUUACAGACUGUAAGUCUCUGACAUUCAGAGGCCAAGUGCAUAAUGCAGACAGGUAAGGGCCUAAGAUUAGGCUGGCUGUGCCCAGUAGAAAAGGCUGGCAGGCAACUUCAUUCAUAAUUUUAUUGUUUUCACUUAGAACAUCAUUAUUAAUUAAGUUGUGUUUAACAUAGUGCCAGCCUACAUCUUUGCUCCUUGAGUAUGGGGUGAAUGUGUUGCUGUCUUCACAGAAAACACACAUCAACUGUAAUACUCAGAGGUCAUUCUGAAUGUGGCCACAUACUUAUCACUUUUUAGUAGAAUGCAAUUUUAAACAAUUAUUUUGCCACUAGUUUUUGGUGUUUAAUCAAAUCAGUUAUGCUAACAUCUACUCAUUAAUUUUAAAAGACUUAGAAUCAUGAGAAGUCAUAUAGAUAGGAAUUUGAAUUCCACAUCCACCACUUAACGGGUUGUGUGAUGUUGAGCAAAUUACUUUCCCUUGAUGAGACUCAGUUUGAUCAUCUGAAAAACAGAGUGAAUAAAAUCCAUCGCAUAAAGUUGCUGUAAUGCUUA